UACGUAGGUGGCAAGCGUUGUCCGGAUUUACUGGGCGUAAAGGAUGCGUAGGCGGACAUUUAAGUCAGAUGUGAAAUACCCGAGCUUAACUUGGGUGCUGCAUUUGAAACUGGGUGUCUAGAGUGCAGGAGAGGUAAGUGGAAUUCCUAGUGUAGCGGUUGAAAUGCGUAGAGAUUAGGAAGAACACCAGUGGCGAAGGCGACUUACUGGACUGUAAACUGACGCUGAGGCAUAAAAGCGUGGGGGAGCAAAACAGG
rnacentral:rRNA from 1 species